CCUACGGGAGGCUGCAGUGAGGAAUAUUGGUCAAUGGACGAGAGUCUGAACCAGCCAAGUAGCGUGAAGGAUGACUGCCCUAUGGGUUGUAAACUUCUUUUAUAUGGGAAUAAAAUGUUCCACGUGUGGGUUUUUGUAUGUACCAUAUGAAUAAGGAUCGGCUAACUCCGUGCCAGCAGCCGCGGUAAUACGGAGGAUCCGAGCGUUAUCCGGAUUUAUUGGGUUUAAAGGGUGCGUAGGUGGAUUGUUAAGUCAGUUGUGAAAGUUUGCGGCUCAACCGUAAAAUUGCAGUUGAAACUGGCAGUCUUGAGUACAGUAGAGGUGGGCGGAAUGCGUGGUGUAGCGGUGAAAUGCUUAGAUAUCACGAAGAACUCCGAUUGCGAAGGCAGCUCACUAGACUGCAACUGACGCUGAGGCUCGAAAGUGUGGGUAUCAAACAGGAUUAGAUACCCCAGUAGUC
rnacentral:rRNA from 1 species